rnacentral:rRNA from 1 species
UAGGGAAUCUUCGGCAAUGGACGGAAGUCUGACCGAGCAACGCCGCGUGAGUGAAGAAGGUUUUCGGAUCGUAAAGCUCUGUUGUUAGAGAAGAACGUUGGUAGGAGAGGAAAAUCUACCAAGUGACGGUAACUAACCAGAAAGGGACGGCUAACUACGUGCCAGCAGCCGCGGUAAUACGUAGGUCCCGAGCGUUGUCCGGAUUUAUUGGGCGUAAAGCGAGCGCAGGCGGUUCUUUAAGUCUGAAGUUAAAGGCAGUGGCUUAACCAUUGUACGCUUUGGAAACUGGAGGACUUGAGUGCAGAAGGGGAGAGUGGAAUUCCAUGUGUAGCGGUGAAAUGCGUAGAUAUAUGGAGGAACACCGGUGGCGAAAGCGGCUCUCUGGUCUGUAACUGACGCUGAGGCUCGAAAGCGUGGGGAGCAAACAGG